GAUGAAGAACGUAGCGAAAUGCGAUACUUGGUGUGAAUUGCAGAAUCCCGUGAACCAUCGAGUCUUUGAACGCAAGUUGCGCCUCAAGCCAUUAGGUUGAGGGCACGUCUGCCUGGGCGUCACAUAUCGUUGCCUGAUGCCAGUUUCCUCGUGAUGGGUGACUGUGCAGGGCGAAUGAUGGCUUCCCGUGAGCAUUGUUGCCUCAUGGUUGGUUGAAAAUUGAGUCCUUGGUAGGGAGCGCCGUGAUAGAUGGUGGUUGAGUGACGAACGAGACCCAAUCAUGUGAGACCCCUACCGAAUUUGGCCUUCAUGACCCACAUGCGUCUUUGGAACGCUCAUGACGAAACCUCAGGUCAGGCGGGGCUACCCGCUGAGUUUAAGCAUAUCAAUAAGCGGAGGA
rnacentral:misc_RNA from 1 species